rnacentral:lncRNA from 1 species
CUUUUUGCACCUAGUGUCGACAGUCGGGUGAACGCCCCUCCUUUGGGCCAGAUGGCCUUUUAUGUUGAAGACCUUAGGACGGGUCUUCGAUUUUCUAUUCCGAAGUUCAUCUGAAAUAUUUUGGACUACUAUGGCUUUUGUCCUGCCCAGCUGGCACCAAAUUCAAUCUGGCUAAUGAUCAGCUUUACUUUGUUGUGUCGAUUACUACU